CUCAUUCUCUUUUCUUCACUUCAUAUAUUUCCAUUAUUUUCUUUAUAUUUCUAAUAUGUAUCAUUUCUAACAUAAUACAAUCCAUUACAUUCAAAUGUCACAAUCCAUUCAGCCAUUUCUCCAAGUCAGUGCAUUUGGGUUAUUUCUAGUUGUUUUGUCAUUACAAACAAAACUUGCUGAAUAUUUUCAUACAUACACAGCUUUUUACCUUCUCUAUAAUGCUCUGAGGGCCUAAUCCCAGUAAUGGGAUUCCUAGGUAAAUUAUCAUCAAUAGCUUUACAAGUCUUAAUGUGUAAUUCCAACUUGUUUUCUAAAAAACAAUUCACAGGUGCUCUAGCAUUAUAAUAUUAGGCUUGUUUCUCCAUAUUCUCAUCAGCAUUUAAUUUAAUCAACUUAAACCAUCUUAUCAGUUAACAUACGGGGCUAUAUUUGGCUGAAAUGAUCCUUGUGCACCAGAUACAAUCUUUUGCCAGGAACACAUUCUUUCCUAAACCAAGUUUUUUCAGCUUGGUCAUACCCAGUGGAUAUUUUGUUUCAAUGCCACAAUACCUCAGGACUGCAGGAUUAUGUCCCUGAUAGACAGUUUUCUCUUUAGGAAAUCUCUAUAGCAGUGCUAAUACACAUUCAGUCUCUCUCUCUCUCUCUCUCUCUCUCUCUCUCUCUCUCUCUUCACAAAUACACACUGUACUAGGCACUAUGAAUAAAAAGAGGGUUAUAUAAUAUGCAAUAACUUAGAAUGGAAAGUGGGUAAACCCUUAGUGAAGAGGAAGGAUCAAGAAAAGACAAGUGUAGAAGCUAGAAGCACCAGAGUUGUGUGGACAGAAGCUUGGGAAUCAUAGAGUGAUAGUGCUAGAAGAGACCUUGAGAAAACCUCCUGGCUUCAGAUUAAAGUAGCUUUUGAUAAUUCUAGAGAAAUGAAAUCUCUUUGCAUCUUCAUUAUUAACUUCUUCCCAGAAGUGAAAAGAAUGCAUUUCUUCUCCAGCAAGGAAUCUUGGGCUAUCUAAUUUCUCUUCCACAUUCCCUCUCAUGGCCUCAGCUUCUUAUAUAGAAAGAGGUAGAGAAGAUAGUCUCUAAGAUCCUUUUGAGUAGAAAAGCCUCAGCCCUUCAAUUCAACCCUAUCAUUUUACAUAGAAGGAAAACUGAGGGCCAGAGAGGCCAAAAAGUCAUGAAGGAAGGAAGUGAUAGAACUGAGAUUUGAAUCUGGUUCUUCUCACUUUAGAGCCAGUCAUGCUCUUCCUAUUGGAAAACACCAUCUUCCUUUGUGCUUUAGAUGGGAAGACUAUGGACCAAGGAAGAGUGUGUUCUGAAGACUUUGCCCACUGAACUGUGGGAAAGACAACUUUUCUUUUAGACUCAAUUGUGGCUCAUGGCUUCCACAUGCUUCUUUUUUCCAGGCAUGGGGAGACUCUGAGCUCCAGAAAGUUCUAGGAAGUGCUUUUUAAAUGUGCAUAACAUAUUAAAAUGUUUCUGCUUCAAUGUGGUCUCUCUCUCCCAUGGACCUCCCCUUUACUACCUCAGCUGACAUUACCCUGGAGACAUUAUGAUGAGGCUAAAGGAGUUCCCUAAUCACAGCAGCCAAUCAUAUAUAAGGGGAGAGUCAUUUAGAUCUAGCUGCUUUGGAGUUGCAAGUUUGUGGGGACUGGUGGGGAAAACCUGGGAUAGUGGAAGAAGUAUUUCUUUCAACAAGGAUUUCACCACUAGGGAAUGAAAUAGAGAUGGCAAAGUUCAGUGACUAUGUAUGGGGCUUCAGGUCUAACAGUGACGCUUCAACUCAGGAGAAAAAUGAGAAAAAACUUAGAAGACAUCGGAGGAGAAAGAUAGGAAGGCAAGCAUGAAUCUUAGAAUCCCUAAGAAGCCACACAAUUCCAAAAUGAUAGAAUCUGCUCUUCUUCACAUGCUGUUUUCCUCAGGUAUCUGCAAAGAGCCACAAACAACUCUGAUCAUUUGCAGCUAUCUACCCUACCAGUACCUCUAAAUAAACUUGCCUUUCCUUUCCUUCGUU